rnacentral:lncRNA from 1 species
AAAUAAAUGGGUUACCCAACUAAAUAACUGACUUUAUUAAUAACUACACCAAGUUGCAGGGGAUACCCACACCUUGGUGACAAUCAUUACAAAGAUCCAACUUCAGUACAUGUCACACCCGGUUUCAGAAGGCAAACCGAAUGCGAACCAUGUACGUGCCAGGAUCAGAAUUCACGUACACAACGAUUACAUAAAUGAACAUCAUCGCACAGUGCUCGAAUAAUAACAUAAAAGAGUAUUAACUUAUUACAUCACAGAGUCAGAGACAUCCACAUAGUCAUCAACUUAACAGGUAAAUCAAAGUGCUAAGCGAAACGCAGUAAAGAUAGGGCCUUCACAGGCAGCUGACUGGGGGUUGCCGCCAACCCACACCUAGAACUCGUCGUAGUCCUGGAACUCCUGGAAGUCUCCUUCCACGACUUCGUCUUCUCCUGAGCAGUGGUUGCAAUGUGAACAACCUGGUGUUUUGUGAAAGCAAGGGUGAGUACACAUCAACGUACUCAGCAAAUGUCCCGUUUGGCUGAGGUGGACUAGCUUUAUUAGUGGAAGCCAAGUUUUAUCAUAUAACCAACCCGUGAAUCAUUUCCUCAUCGAGGAACAUCAUUAUCGUCAUCGAACCAAAAUAAUAAAUAGAACCAUUGUAUCUCAGAUCAUUUGUAUCUCUAAUCAAAGAGGAUCCCAAGGCCGCUCUUAACCGUGAGCACGGCUGAUAUAUCAGUUUCAUUACCCUCUGCAGAGGUCGCACACUUUACCCAUGAGCCGUGAUUCCCGUCUUGCCCGGGGAUCAUGACUCCCCAUUGAUCACUUCCUAGGUGGUCCGGCAGGGUAUCACUACGUAGCCUUUACAAAGAUUCCCUAGAGGUCAUAGCCGCCCGUUAGGUUUCUCCAGUUUGAUAAACACAGUACCUCUCCCCACAGGAGGGUGACUAACAAAAGCAGAACGAAAGAACCUCGGCACUCAGCCUUGGCAGAGCAAGCACUGUGCCUGGACCCCAUUGACGGCACGACGGCGAAGCAACUACACCUCUAGUUCCUCUAAUUAAUUAGCUAAGGGCAUCCCAUUUCACCCUCAUGGUUGCACUGUUAUCCCGGGUGGUCUCUCAACGAACAGGUCCUUACGGAGAGGUACUCGGGAAACAGCCCGAGUCCCCUAAAUGCCACAAGUAUAUCAUCAUAUCCAGAAUAAAAUCAUAGUAUCAUCAUUGUAUCUCAUCAUGUUCAUUGAUUAAAGUAAAUCGCUAGCAUGUAGCUAACCAUAGUAACCCAAAAGGUAAAUCAAGGACAAGGUAAAUAGAAAGCUAGUAAAUCCUUAGGUUGUUCAUAGUAUGCGGGACAGUGUAUUAUAAAGUAAAUGGGACAUAAUGGGUCAGAGGACACUUGCCUUCACCAAACAGAUGCUCAGAGUCUUCAACUUCGUGGAACCCAAAGAGCUAGACCACUUGGUCGCCGAAGCUUGACCGUCGAUUCCUCGAAGCCCAGAAACGAGUCGAGAUCUAAUCGCAACGCGAAGCGAAGACGAACAGGCACAAGCAAACAAACAUAUAUAUGCAUAAGAACAUUACACCAUUCAAAGAAAAACAUGAUAGAACAUGCAAAAUGAAACGGAUCGCGUUACUACGGUCACGCGAGGAAAAAGAAACGUCGAACUCGAAGCUACUGUCGAGAAGAUAACGGGUUUACACUCAAACAAAUACUAGUUAAAACAUUUGAUUCGAACUGAUUAUAUUAACCGAUAUUUAUUAUAAGCCUAAGUGGAACGCUACACAUUUAAUCUAGUUAGAGUAUUAGUCUAAUAAAUAUUAUUCAAGAGACCUUAAGUUAAUUAUCUAAAAUUUGUACCCUCACAAAUUAACGUUAUUAACAUGAGUGUUUAUAAGCGAGAACAAUUUAUUAUCGCACAAAAAUGUCGCGCGACACCCGCGAACGAUACGUGACGACGCUCGCGAAGCAGCACCGUGGCACGCGAAAUAACACGCACGACAGCGCGCGAUACGUGUGAGUCAACAAGAGUACGCGCGCGAACAGCACACAACAAUGCGUGUGCUAGAUGCGCGGCGCGAACGCGCGAACGAACAACGGCGACGCGCAAACAGCGCGCGAUUGCCAUGCGAAAUAGCACACAACUACAUUAACUUGUAUUUAUAAAAACGCAAAUUAAAACUAUAAAUUAGCUUUAGUUAAAUUGCUACUUUAAUAAACAACAUACAAACAAAAUAAAUAAUUAAUUAAUUGAACUUGUGUCACGGCAAAAUAAUGUUAUUAACACGUAAUCGACACGGUUGCAAACUUAACGCAACUGAACUGAGUCGAAACUAAUCUAGGACGCAAAACAUAUUAACUUAAUUGACGUGAUGCAAAUCUAGGAACGGAGCCGCGCAAAGGGCCACAUGGGUCACACAGAUCGGAUCCCGUGUGGCCACACCCAUCUUCAACCUCACGAUUAUAGGAACAAAUGGGGAAUGGGAAAGUUACUGUCGGAGAGGGAAGGGCGCUGACCGCUCCAGCCUGGGCGGGCUCGCCGGCGGCACAAUGGGGCGGGGCUAAGCGCGCGCCGCGCCAGACCGCCGGGACUGGCUACGCGCAGGGGCUGGCCGCGCGUAGGGACUGGAGCCAGGGAAGGGAGGGUGGUUGUUACCUGCUCGGCGGCAAGAGGGCGAAGGCAUCAGCGAGCUUGACGAUGGCGAGGCACGGGCACGAUGAGCGGCGAGGCUGUAGGGCUCCUCCACACAACAACGGGGUGUGCGGGGACGCGUCGACGAAGCAGCCGUGCUGGCACGGUGACCGGCGAACGGCUACGGGGCGACUCCGUGCGGGGCUGGGCAGCGGCGUAGGGGUAGACGGGCUGGGCGGCAUGCUUAACCGGCAACCGGGCUGCAGUAGCGAGGACGACUGUACGUGGGGGAGUUGCUUUGGGUGGAGGGUUGAAGCAGGGCCAUUUGUCAAAGAUGCGAGCACGUCUGCAGCGGAAGAAGCGGAGCUGAGCGGUUGAAGGAGAGAGAGGAUAGUGCUGAUGCGCAGGGCCCACAACACAAUGUACAAGCGGCUACCAAGCCGGAUCAUGUUCAGGGCGUGCGUGUGGCUGGGCACUGCCCUGCUCCCGCUGCGCUUGCACAUGGUGGGCUAGGAAGUCGAGUGGGCUGGCCAAUUGCCAAGCCGCGAGGAAAAAGAAAAAAUGAUUUUCUUUUUUAUUUCUUCUUUCUUUAUAUGUGUAUAUAUAUAUAUUUAUAUUAUAUCAUUUCCAACUAAUUCAAAUUUUAUAGUUUUUCCUCCAUCCGAACGUAAACACCGCCACGAUUAUUUUUAGCAAACAAAUACUUUACUUCGACAUGAAAUGCAACACUCAUAUUUAUUCAAAAUAACACCCAUAAAUACUAGGUUAACUUAUUUUAAAAAAAAAUAAAAAAAAACAGAGAAAAGAACAAAGUAAAAAGUAAAUGUAACACCUGCAUUUUUUUAGUAUAAAGCAAAGAAAAUUUUAUACCCUAAAAUUAAGGGUGUUACAAAUCUAACCCCCUUAACAGAAUCUCGCCCCCGAGAUUCAAGAGGCUAGCAAGAACGACAAGGUUGGUUCAUAGGCUAUCCACGGCUUUCUGGAGUUGACUUUGACUCUGCAAGCUUAACUUGUGGAUUGGUUGCUUUGACCUUCAGAUGUUCACGACCGACUGAUGCAAUUCUUAAGGAUCCCUUGGACCUGUGGGUUAGGACCCACCACGUUUUCGCUGCGCCACUUUGAUCAUGUUUGCUGAUAUUGAUCGCAUUGUCUUCAUUGGGGUUAGCGGCUAACCCCCUUAACAUGAGCAUUGGUACGCACUUGGUGAAGAUGUUGUCGACUCUGAUCUUGAUUGAUUUGGAGGAGUUGGAGGUUGCCAAAUGGACAGGUGCAAGAGGAAAGAAUAACGAGAAAAGGUAAGUAUAAACGGAUUAAAGAGAGAAAAGGGAGAGCACCCAACUACUAACUCUAUGGCAAUCAGCUAGUAAACUGAUGUCAUUGCGGACCAAGGGCCACAACACAUCAACACUCAUCACAAAGAAGCAAAUCAGUCAUAACACAAAGAUAAACAUCACAAGCAUACAACAACAAGCAUAUCGUUGCUACACGUGAAUGUUAACUAGAUGGUGGUCUUUCCUAAAAAGGGAAUAACUAAUCUCUAAGGUUGUCAAAGGAGGAGGAGAAGAACAAGACGUGUAGGAUAGGGACACGAGCACCAUAAAGGAUGGAGUUAAAGCAAGCAUCGUGAGCGACCAGGAACAGGAUAUGACCAAGGGCAUAAUGGGUAGAACACCACUCUUGAGUUGAGAUGGAAAAGGGGAGAUUUCAAAAAUCAGACCUAAGAUAAGCAUCAAGGCAAGAUUUAGUGAUUACAAAGGUAAGGGUGAUAUCAAACAAAAGCUACGACUGGCAACGAGGCAGAGGAAAAUGGAACGAACAAGAGCAGGAUAGGUAAGACAACACUCUUGAACCGAAAUGGCAAAGGGGCUUUAAAAUGAAGGUGCGAGAUAAGCAUCAAGGUAAAAGAUCGAGGGAUGACAAGGGUUAAGGUGAUAACAGACAAACACACAACCAAGGAUGUAUUUUAGACAAAACUUGCAAGACGUCGAAGAAGGGGGAGCAAUCAAUGGUGAAGAAGGUAAGGCAUUAUCCUCGAACAGUGACGGAAAAGAGGAGGCUUCAAAGGGUAGGUUCAAAGUAAGCAUGAAGGUAAGGGUAUAGAUAUUACAAGGGUUAAAGGUGAUAACGGACAAUAAUGUAAGAGGGGAGGUAAAUGGGCAUAAGAACAAUGGAUAUAAGUACCAAAAAGGAUGGAGUUAAGACAAGACCUACAAAAGGAAAAGGAGAGGGUGUGUCCAAGGACCAGAUAGGUAAAUUGCCAUUCUCAAAGUGAGAUGGAAGAGAGGGGAUUUUUAAAGAGUAGGAAUAAAUCUGAGUAUCAAGGUAAGAUCGAUGGACGACAAGGUGAGGGUGAUAGCAAAUAAAAACACGGCAAGGGAUGUAAUUACCACAAAACUCGUAAGGUGACAAGAAGUGAAAAGAAAUCAAGGGAGAGAUAGGUACCCCGCAACUCUCAAAAUGGGUUGAAAGAAAGGGGAGGCUUUUAAAGGAUAAGUUUAAGGUGAGCAUUUAGGUAGAAGACCUCAAUAUCACAAGGGUCAAAGGGGACAACUGACAAGGGUAUGAGAGAAAAGAUGAAGGCAUUCGAGAGCCAGUGGUAUGAGUACAACAAAGAAUGGAGUUGCGCCCAAACUUACACGCGAUAAAGAAGAGGUUAUAGCCAAGGGUAAUAUAAGUAAAACACCGCUCUCAAAUUGAGGUAGGAGAUUGGAGAUUUUAGAUAAUAGACGUAAUGUAAUCACAAGGUAGGAUAGAGUGAUGAGAAGGGUAAAGGAAAUAACAAACAAAAACACAACAAAGGAUAGAGUUGAAAACUCGCAUGUGACAAAGAAGAGGACACGACCAAGGGAAAAGUACGUAAAGUACAAUGCUCAGAUUGAGAUGGAAAAUAGGAUAUCUUAAAGGCCAGUAUAAGAUAAACAUCAAGGUAAGAUAUAGACGUGAUAAGGAUAAAGGUGAUAAUGAUGAAAAUCAUAAUCCAUGGAUAGAGUUAAGGCAAGACUUGCAUAGUGACAAAGUGGAGAAAACAAUCAAGGAUAAGAUAAGUGAGGUUCCGACAGAAGAGUUGAAGUUAAAAUUCAUAAUCGAAGGAAGUUACAAGGAAACAACGAGUAUACCACGGAUGUGCAAAAAUAAAAUGACCGCUCAUGGAUCGUUAAGAAACAAGGGUGGUCAAUGACAUGUUAACUGAAUUGUCUCAAACAGAUAUUGGGAUAUAAAGGUAAACAUAUAUAAAAAUAAGAGCAUGCAAGAUUCCAAUGGUAGGAGCGUACCAAGACCAAGAGAAUAGAAGAAGCCAAAAUGUAACGGUUUCACAACGGAAAAGGAACGGGUCUCAGAAGACAAGAAGUUCAUGGACAUAUAAACUAAAAUGUUUCAGUAGGCAGUAUAAAUUCUGAUGUAAGUAUUUGAAACAAGAGUAUUGAAGAAUCUAGGAGUACGAGCAUGUCAAUACCAAGGGAGUAGAGAUGGUCAAAUGGCAGCGAUUUAAUGAUGAAAGAGAAAAGAAUACCAAAAGACAAGAAGUUUAUGGUCAGGGGGCAUCUACAAAGAUGUCGGAAGCACAAGAGUGAGAUCAGAUCUAAUAGAUUGAGAGAAGUAUAGACCAUAUUAGAAUAAAAUACUUUUGGCAAGGAGGCAUAUAGGAGCACAACAUAGAAUUAGUCAAGGCGACUAUUAGUUUGAAGCAGAAUCAAGGAUGAGGUGAAGUAAUAGUCAAUAAGUCCUUAAACGACCAAUGCUACUCUAGGCUAGCGGUCCUACAGUCAGCACGGCUUUGAUACCACUUAUGUCACACCCGGUUUCAGAAGGCAAACCGAAUGCGAACCAUGUACGUGCCAGGAUCAGAAUUCACGUACACAACGAUUACAUAAAUGAACAUCAUCGCACAGUGCUCGAAUAAUAACAUAAAAGAGUAUUAACUUAUUACAUCACAGAGUCAGAGACAUCCACAUAGUCAUCAACUUAACAGGUAAAUCAAAGUGCUAAGCGAAACGCAGUAAAGAUAGGGCCUUCACAGGCAGCUGACUGGGGGUUGCCGCCAACCCACACCUAGAACUCGUCGUAGUCCUGGAACUCCUGGAAGUCUCCUUCCACGACUUCGUCUUCUCCUGAGCAGUGGUUGCAAUGUGAACAACCU